rnacentral:rRNA from 1 species
AAACGACGCUGGCGGCAGGCCUAACACAUGCAAGUCGAGCGCACCUUCGGGUGAGCGGCGGACGGGUUAGUAACGCGUGGGAACGUACCCUUUUCUACGGAAUAGCCUUUGGAAACGAAGAGUAAUACCGUAUACGCCCUUUGGGGGAAAGAUUUAUCGGAGAAGGAUCGGCCCGCGUUAGAUUAGAUAGUUGGUGGGGUAACGGCCUACCAAGUCUACGAUCUAUAGCUGGUUUUAGAGGAUGAUCAGCAACACUGGGACUGAGACACGGCCCAGACUCCUACGGGAGGCAGCAGUGGGGAAUCUUAGACAAUGGGCGCAAGCCUGAUCUAGCCAUGCCGCGUGAGUGAUGAAGGCCUUAGGGUCGUAAAGCUCUUUCGCCUGUGAUGAUAAUGACAGUAGCAGGUAAAGAAACCCCGGCUAACUCCGUGCCAGCAGCCGCGGUAAUACGGAGGGGGUUAGCGUUGUUCGGAAUUACUGGGCGUAAAGCGCACGUAGGCGGAUUGGAAAGUUGGGGGUGAAAUCCCGGGGCUCAACCCCGGAACUGCCUCCAAAACUAUCAGUCUAGAGUUCGAGAGAGGUGAGUGGAAUUCCAAGUGUAGAGGUGAAAUUCGUAGAUAUUUGGAGGAACACCAGUGGCGAAGGCGGCUCACUGGCUCGAUACUGACGCUGA